CUCUUGUUUCUUUGUUUGGUCGUGGAUACGUUCUGUUCGUUUAUUUCUUUAAUUCUUAGUUGUACUUAUAUUUUGAACUUUGAUUUGGGAUAUUGGUUUGGGUUGAACUUUGAUUUAGUCUAGGUUUCAGAGUCGAAGAUGAAUCAGUGAGACUGUUGGUGUUGAAGCUAAUAAAUGAUUAUGCUUUAGUGUGUCCUAGGAUAGAGAGGGUUAUGGGUUUCUAUGAUUUCUCAAUCGUUCUUUAUAGUUUCCUUUUCUCUAUAAAUAAUUCUAUUCAUGUUUCUGAUCAAAGACAGAUUACCUUGUUCGCACACAAAAAUCAUAUAGAGAGGGAGUUCCUUGUCAACUAUCUCUUGAUCAUCUGGUUCUGGGUUCAUAACCUUUAUAGUGCAUGCUCCUCGCUCUAAUUUGUGACAUAUGCUUAGACCUGCCAUCUCAAGGUUCUCAAUUGAAUUUGAGGUUGUUUGAGCCAGCACCAAGAAGGGUAUGGUUGGGGAUUUGGUCCUUUCUUUCCCAGCAAGUAUAAUUGAUUUUGCAGGGGCAAGUUGCUGAGGCCAUAGUGUGUUCAUAUGUUUGACAGAGAAUGGUCUGGAAUGGAAAAAAACAUGGGGGGAAAUGAGAAAAAAAUUUGGACUAUUUCUCGAUGGCUGGACAAUAUGCAGACACCAGUUUAUUCGUAAAGUUUCGAUGUGGGACAGUGGGUACGGGAUGCCCAAAACAUUAUCGUUUCACAUGACCUGUAUCGCGUAAGGGAGUUCAUGGGGGUCCACAGCCUGAAAGUGAGGGUCGCUGUUCACUUCUCAGUUCUCAUUGUUUUUCUUGUUUCUUUAUUUGUAUGUGGGUAUAUUCUUUAUUUGGUUGUGGGUUUAUUCUUUAUUUGUUUAUUGGACAAUGAAUGAAAGGAAAAUUCCAAUUCUAUUUGGUUUUUUAUUGAGCAAAAUUGGGGAAAAUUUAUGGAACCAACAAAUUGGUGAGAAAAUCUGGGAGGAGUGGAUGAAAAUUUUAUUGGGUUCAAAUUUGUAUUUUAUUUUAUUUUUGCCACAUUUUUUCCCCUUGUGCUUCGCUUUCAUUUCCUUCACAGUUUCCUGAGAACCAAACAACCUGUAAUUAUUGUUAUCAUCACUGUUUUGGGUAUACAAUUAUUUAAACUAAACUGUUAAGCAAUGACCUAUUGUUAUUGUUACAGUCAUUUUAUUGGUACAGAAUUAUCUAAAGGAAACUGUUAAUCAGGGUUCUAUCUUUUAUGAGUUUCUUACACUGACAUCAAUUGGUAAACUGCAUGGUUGUUUAAUAUUUUUCCUUAUUCAAGUUUACUCAUGAAUGGAUGUUUGCAGAUAUGGGGUUAAGAUGCAUUGUGUCUAGGGCUUUGGGUAGUAAAUUUCAGAAUAAGUUGGAGUAUUGGUUGGUUUAGUGAUGGUUGAAAUGUUCUUUUCCUUGUUCAAAUCUUUUCAAAAUGGAUGUUUGCAGAAUUCAAUGGGAAUUGUUUUGGUUUAGGGCUUAUGGUAUUACAUAUUGGGUAUCGGUAGGUUAGUUUGGUGUCAUUUGGCUUAAGAUUAAUUUUAUGGUCUCAGAGUAUUUGUGUUUCUGUUUUCCGAUUGGUCUCUUCACUAGGAGAUUUUCAUUCCAUGAGAUGGAUUAUAGCACAAAACUUCCUUCCAGAAUUCAAUCACCAGUUAUAGAAACAUGAAUUAUGUGAGUAGGUUUAACUUUUGCAGGAAUGCAGGAGAAGGACGUUGUGUUACUUUUACCUGGAGAAAGGUCUUGUUUGGUGGGGAGGGAAGAAAAAAAAAUUUGGACCAUUUCUCGAUUUGUGCGUGUCAUCCUUGCGCAGGGGCCAUGCUAAUCUUCUCUGUAUCGUUCCAAUUUUAUCGGAUGUCUCCGAGGAGACAAGCUUUAACAGUGGAGUUUCAAUAUAUGAGGAAACAUAUCUGGUCUUAAAGUUUCGAUGUGGGAUGGGAAUGGGGAUGUCAAGACCCCCGGCUGCCCAAAACGAUGCCGUUUCACUCAACCUGCACCGCCUUUAUGUGGGUCCACAACUUGAAAAAUUCUCUACAGGAAACUGUUAGUCAGAGACCUUUCUUUAUACGAGCUUCAUGCACUGACAUUAGGUGGUAAAAUGGAGGGUUGUUUCAAGUUUUCACAUGAAUGGAUGUUUGGAGACACUCAAAUCUUGACAGAUUAUUGGUUGAUGACUUCUUGCCCAACAACAAAAUCACAUAAAGGGGGUUUGCUUUCAACCAUCCCGUUAUCAUAUUGUUCACAAUUCAUAACCUUGUAGCAGUCAAUCCAUGAGCUUUGUUUGGAUGGUCAAACACAUUAUUCAAGGAAAUGACUUGAAUAUACUUCUGCUUAUAUUUGAAUGUUAAACUGGUUUAAACCUGCGACCUCAAAGCUUUCAAUUGAACUGGGCUUGCAUGAGUCAAGACUCAAGACCGAGUUGGCUAUGAUUGGAGAUUGAAUCCUUCUUUUCCCUCUUUGUUUUAAGAUGUACUAUUCAUUUUUCCUGGCAACUGGCUAAGGCUUUGAUUGACCAUAGUUCAGUUCAUGUUUCAGAGAAAUGGCUGGUUCUGAAGCAGAGAUGGGCACUGUAAUGUAAUUUGUUCAUAGUUGAAAGUUGAUUUGGGGGAGAAAAAGACAAAAAAAUUUGGACCAUUUCUCGAUUUGUGCGUGUCAUCCUUGCGCAGGGGCCAUGCUAAUCUUCUCUGUAUCGUUCCAAUUUUAUCGGAUGUCUCCGAAGAGACAAGCUUUGGUGGGAGAGCUGAUAGAUAUGAAGACAUUGCUGGCUUCAUAAUUUUUCGAUGUGGGAAUGGAAUUUUGGAUGAACCAAACUUAAAAGGAGAACAACAUGGGCCCACAACCUGUAGGAAAAGGAGGUUAUGGAGAUAUAUACCCAUUGAUUUGAACCAGGGGGCUGAUAAGAUGGUGAAAGGCCUCUCAUCAAUUACCCUUUUUUGGGGAGUUUCUACCUAGAUUCUCCAUAUUUGGCUUGGAUUAUAGUGGUAGAUGUGUAUUGUUUCUGGGAAUCAAUUUUUGGGUGUUCGUUCUUUGUCUUCCUCCUCUCUCCUCUCCUCAUCCUCUUCUACACCCAUAUCUAUGAAAGAUCUCUCUUUCUGCUUUGUAGUUAUGUUUUCUCUGUAUAUAAUUCUAUCUGGGUUUCUUGCAGAAUA